UACGUAGGGUGCAAGCGUUGUCCGGAAUUAUUGGGCGUAAAGAGCUCGUAGGCGGUCUGUCGCGUCUGCUGUGAAAACUCGGGGCUUAACCCCGGGCCUGCAGUGGGUACGGGCAGACUAGAGUGCGGUAGGGGAGACUGGAAUUCCUGGUGUAGCGGUGAAAUGCAUUGAGAUCGGAAAGAACACCAACGGCGAAAGCACGCUGCUGGGCCGACACUGACGCUGAGAGACGAAAGCUAGGGGAGCAAAUGGG
rnacentral:rRNA from 1 species